rnacentral:rRNA from 1 species
CGGUUGAUCCUGCCGGACCCGACUGCUAUUUGGGUGAGGAUAAGCCAUGCGAGUUGAAUGGGAAACCUAAAGUUCCCAUGGCAGACUGCUCAGUAACACAUGAUCAACUUACCCUAUAGAGAAAAAUAACCUCGGGAAACUGAGGAUAAUGUUUCAUAGUUGAAUUGGCUUGGAAAAGUUUUUCAACGAAAGGGUAAAAAAAAUGGUUUUUAUCUGCUAUAGGAUAGGAUCGUGGUCGAUUAUGGUUGUUGGUGAGGUAAUGGCUCACCAAGCCGGUAAUCGAUAGGGGCCGUGAGAGCGGGAGCCCCGAGAUGGGUACUGAGACAACGACCCAGGCCUUACGAGGCGCAGCAGGCGCGAAACCUCCGCAAUACACGAAAGUGUGACGGGGUUACCCAAAGUGUUCAAUAUUGAACUGUGGUAGGUGAGUAAUGUCCCCUACUAGAAAGGAGAGGGCAAGGCUGGUGCCAGCCGCCGCGGUAAAACCAGCUCUUCAAGUGGUCGGGAUAAUUAUUGGGCUUAAAGUAUCCGUAGCUAGCUUAGCAAGUCCUCUGGUAAAAUCGGGUGAUUCAAUCGUUUAUAUUGCUAGGGAUACUACUAGGCUAGAGGGCGGGAGAGGCCUACGGUACUACAGGGGUAGGGGUGAAAUCCUAUAAUCCCUGUAGGACCACCAGUGGCGAAGGCCGUAGGCUGGAACGCGCCUGACGGUGAGGGACGAAAGCCAGGGGAGCGAACCGGAUUAGAUACCCGGGUAGUCCUGGCUGUAAACGAUGCAGGCUAGGUGUUGGGGCGGCCACGAGCCGCCCCAGUGCCGUAGGGAAACCGUUAAGUCUGCCGCCUGGGAAGUACGGCCGCAAGGCUGAAACUUAAAGGAAUUGGCGGGGGAGCAC